rnacentral:rRNA from 1 species
AGUGAACGCUGGCGGUAUGCCUAAUACAUGCAAGUCGAGCGGAAGCACAGUAAGCUCUUGCUCCUACCGGUAGCGGGUGACGGGUGGGUGACGAGUACAUCGGCUUCUACUUUUUCUUGGGGGAUUACGUAGGGACACUGACGCUACUACCGCAUACGUUCUACCGCUGGAAUCAAGAGUUCAUCACAGUUUUGGCGACUCAUUGAGCUGAUUCCGCGCCGGAUUAGCUAGUUGGUAAGGUAACGGCCUACCAAGGCGACGAUGCGUAGCUGAUCUGAGAGGAUGAUCAGCCACACUGGAACUGAGACACGGUCCAGACUCCUACGGGAGGCAGCAGUGGGGAAUCUUGGACAAAGGGCGCAAGCCUGACCCAGCCAUGCCGCGUGGGUGAAGAAGGCCUUCGGGUUGUAAAGCCCUGUUGUUGGGAAAGAAAAGCAGCAGGUGAAUACCCCGAUGUCUUGACGGUACCCAAAGAAUAAGCACCGGCUAACUACGUG